rnacentral:tRNA from 4 species
GCUGCAUUAGACAAGUGGUUAAGUCGCCAGCUUUUCACGCUGGUAUUCAAAGGUUCGAAUCCUUUAUGCAGUA